rnacentral:rRNA from 1 species
CCUACGGGAGGCAGCAGUGGGGAAUUUUGGACAAUGGGCGAAAGCCUGAUCCAGCAAUGCCGCGUGCAGGACGAAGGCCUUCGGGUUGUAAACUGCUUUUGUACGGAACGAAACGGUCUCUUUUAAUACAGGGGGCUAAUGACGGUACCGUAAGAAUAAGCACCGGCUAACUACGUGCCAGCAGCCGCGGUAAUACGUAGGGUGCAAGCGUUAAUCGGAAUUACUGGGCGUAAAGCGUGCGCAGGCGGUUAUAUAAGACAGAUGUGAAAUCCCCGGGCUCAACCUGGGACCUGCAUUUGUGACUGUAUAGCUAGAGUACGGUAGAGGGGGAUGGAAUUCCGCGUGUAGCAGUGAAAUGCGUAGAUAUGCGGAGGAACACCGAUGGCGAAGGCAAUCCCCUGGACCUGUACUGACGCUCAUGCACGAAAGCGUGGGGAGCAAACAGGAUUAGAUACCCUGGUAGUCCACGCCCUAAACGAUGUCAACUGGUUGUUGGGUCUUCACUGACUCAGUAACGAAGCUAACGCGUGAAGUUGACCGCCUGGGGGAGGUACGGCCGCGAGGUAGUAACGUUAAAGUAAGUAGUAGACGNGUGAGACGCGACGACGACGACGACGGAGGAGGAGG